rnacentral:tRNA from 1 species
AUUUAAGUAGUUUAAUUAAAAUAUUGAUUUGUGGGAUCAGUGAUAUGCUAUAUAAAAGUAUCUUAAAUA